GUGAAUCAUCAAAUUUUUGAACGCAAAUUGCACUCUCCGGUUUUCCGGGAGAGUAUGCCUGUUUGAGGGUCGGCCUAAAAAAAAUCGACAUUGUUGCUGUUAUUUAAUGGUGACUUUCGUCGGAGAUUGGGUUAUCUUAAACCUUUUUUUUUUUUUUUGGUUUAGGGACUUUAAAUUUUUUUUUCCGAUUUCAUUGACGUUUUUUAA
rnacentral:misc_RNA from 1 species